rnacentral:rRNA from 1 species
GACGAACGCUGGCGGCGUGCUUAACACAUGCAAGUCGAACGGAAAGGCCCUGCUUUUGUGGGGUGCUCGAGUGGCGAACGGGUGAGUAACACGUGAGUAACCUGCCCUUGACUUUGGGAUAACUUCAGGAAACUGGGGCUAAUACCGGAUAGGAGCUCCUGCUGCAUGGUGGGGGUUGGAAAGGUUCGGCGGUUGGGGAUGGACUCGCGGCUUAUCAGCUUGUUGGUGGGGUAGUGGCUUACCAAGGCUUUGACGGGUAGCCGGCCUGAGAGGGUGACCGGCCACAUUGGGACUGAGAUACGGCCCAGCCUCCUACGGGAGGCAGCAGUGGGGAAUAUUGCACAAUGGGCGGAAGCCUGAUGCAGCAACGCCGCGUGCGGGAUGACGGCCUUCGGGUUGUAAACCGCUUUCGCCUGUGACGAAGCGUGAGUGACGGUAAUGGGUAAAGAAGCACCGGCUAACUACGUG